rnacentral:rRNA from 1 species
UACAGAGGGUGCAAGCGUUGUUCGGAUUUACUGGGCGUACAGGGAGCGUAGGCGGUUGGAUAAGCCCUCCGUGAAAUCUCCAGGCUUAACCUGGAAAGUGCAGAGGGGACUGUUCAGCUAGAGGAUGGGAGAGGAGCGCGGAAUUCCCGGUGUAGCGGUGAAAUGCGUAGAGAUCGGGAGGAAGGCCGGUGGCGAAGGCGGGUCUCUGGGCCGAUACUGACGCUGAGGAGCGAAAGCGUGGG